CUAAGAAUCUUCCGCAAUGGACGAAAGUCUGACGGAGCGACGCCGCGUGAACGAUGAAGGCCGUGAGGUUGUAAAGUUCUUUUCCGGGGGGGGAAUAAGGCGCGCAGGGAAUGGCGCGCCGAUGACGUGAACCCGGGAAUAAGCCCCGGCUAACUACGUGCCAGCAGCCGCGGUAACACGUAGGGGGCGAGCGUUGUUCGGAAUCAUUGGGCGUAAAGGGUGCGCAGGCGGCCGUCCAAGUCUGGUGUGAAAUACCCCGGCCCAACCGGGGGGACGCGCUGGAAACUGGAUGGCUUGAGUACAGGAGGGGGAGUCGGAAUUCCAGGUGUAGGGGUGAAAUCUGUAGAUAUCUGGAAGAACACCGGUGGCGAAGGCGGACUCCUGGCCAUGUACUGACGCUGAGGCACGAAGGCGUGGGGAGCAAACAGG
rnacentral:rRNA from 2 species